rnacentral:rRNA from 1 species
AGAGUUUGAUCCUGGCUCAGAACGAACGCUGGCGGCAGGCUUAACACAUGCAAGUCGAGCGCCGUAGCAAUACGGAGCGGCAGACGGGUGAGUAACGCGUGGGAACAUACCCCUCGGUUCGGAAUAACUCAGGGAAACUUGAGCUAAUACCGGAUACGGCCGAGAGGCGAAAGAUUUAUCGCCGAGGGAUUGGCCCGCGUCCGAUUAGCUAGUUGGUGUGGUAACGGCGCACCAAGGCGACGAUCGGUAGCUGGUCUGAGAGGAUGAUCAGCCACAUUGGGACUGAGACACGGCCCAAACUCCUACGGGAGGCAGCAGUGGGGAAUAUUGGACAAUGGGCGCAAGCCUGAUCCAGCCAUGCCGCGUGAGUGAUGACGGCCUUAGGGUUGUAAAGCUCUUUCGCACGCGACGAUAAUGACGGUAGCGUGAGAAGAAGCCCCGGCUAACUUCGUGCCAGCAGCCGCGGUAAU